UACAGAGGGGGCAAGCGUUGUUCGGAAUUACUGGGCGUAAAGGGCGCGUAGGCGGCCUCUUAAGUCGAACGUGAAAUCCCCGGGCUCAACCCGGGAACUGCGUCCGAUACUGGGAGGCUUGAAUCCGGGAGAGGGAUGUGGAAUUCCAGGUGUAGCGGUGAAAUGCGUAGAUAUCUGGAGGAGCACCGGUGGCGAAGGCGGCAUCCUGGACCGGUAUUGACGCUGAGGCGCGAAAGCCAGGGGAGCAAACGGG
rnacentral:rRNA from 1 species